rnacentral:rRNA from 1 species
UACGUAGGGGGCUAGCGUUGUCCGGAAUCAUUGGGCGUAAAGAGCGUGUAGGCGGUCCGGUAAGUCCGUUGUGAAAGUCAGGGGGCUCAACCCUUGAAUGCCGGCGGAUACUGUCGGGCUAGAGUCCGGAAGAGGCGAGUGGAAUUCCUGGUGUAGCGGUGAAAUGCGCAGAUAUCAGGAGGAACACCGGUGGCGAAGGCGGUUCUCUGGGCAUUACCUGACGCUGAGGAGCGAAAGUGUGGGGGAGCGAACAGG